GGCAAUUCUAGGGUGACGCACCCCAGAAUCAAGCUCCCUCCUCUCUGGUUCUGGGUGCGUCACCCGAGAACCACA
rfam:Myotis brandtii contig282617, whole genome shotgun sequence.